rnacentral:rRNA from 1 species
CCUACGGGGGGCAGCAGUGAGGAAUAUUGGUCAAUGGACGAGAGUCUGAACCAGCCAAGUAGCGUGAAGGAUGACUGCCCCAUGGGUUGUAAACUUCUUUUAUAUGGGAAUAAAACGUUCCACGUGUGGGAUUUUGUAUGUACCAUAUGAAUAAGGAUCGGCUAACUCCGUGCCAGCAGCCGCGGUAAUACGGAGGAUCCGAGCGUUAUCCGGAUUUAUUGGGUUUAAAGGGAGCGUAGGUGGAGUGUUAAGUCAGUUGUGAAAGUUUGCGGCUCAACCGUAAAAUUGCAGUUGAAACUGGCAGUCUUGAGUACAGUAGAGGUGGGCGGAAUUCGUGGUGUAGCGGUGAAAUGCUUAGAUAUGACGAAGAACACCGAUUGCGAAGGCAGUUCACUGGACUGCAACUGACACUGAGGCUCGAAAGUGUGGGUAUCAAACAGGAUUAGAUACCCGGGUAGUC